UACGAAGGGGGCUAGCGUUGUUCGGAUUUACUGGGCGUAAAGCGCACGUAGGCGGACUUUUAAGUCAGGGGUGAAAUCCCGGGGCUCAACCCCGGAACUGCCUUUGAUACUGGAAGUCUUGAGUUCGAGGGAGGUGAGUGGAAUUGCGAGUGUAGAGGUGAAAUUCGUAGAUAUUCGCAGGAACACCAGUGGCGAAGGCGGCUCACUGGCUCGAUACUGACGCUGAGGUGCGAAAGCGUGGGGAGCAAACAGG
rnacentral:rRNA from 1 species